rnacentral:rRNA from 1 species
AUUGAACGCUGGCGGCAGGCCUAACACAUGCAAGUCGAACGGUAACAGGAAGCAGCUUGCUGCUUCGCUGACGAGUGGCGGACGGGUGAGUAAUGUCUGGGAAGCUGCCUGAUGGAGGGGGAUAACUACUGGAAACGGUAGCUAAUACCGCAUAAUGUCGCAAGACCAAAGAGGGGGACCUUUGGGCCUCUUGCCAUCGGAUGUGCCCAGAUGGGAUUAGCUUGUUGGUGGGGUAACGGCUCACCAAGGCGACGAUCCCUAGCUGGUCUGAGAGGAUGACCAGCCACACUGGAACUGAGACACGGUCCAGACUCCUACGGGAGGCAGCAGUGGGGAAUAUUGCACAAUGGGCGCAAGCCUGAUGCAGCCAUGCCGCGUGUAUGAAGAAGGCCUUCGGGUUGUAAAGUACUUUCAGCGGGGAGGAAGGGAGUAAAGUUAAUACCUUUGCUCAUUGACGUUACCCGCAGAAGAAGCACCGGCUAACUCCGUG